rnacentral:rRNA from 1 species
CCCUUAGAUGUUCUGGGCCGCACGCGUGCUACACUGAUGCAUUCAACGAGUCUAAAACCUGGUCUGAUAGGGCUGGGUAAUCUUUUGAAAGUGCAUCGUGAUUGGGAUAGAUGAUUGCAAUUCUUCAUCUUCAACGAGGAAUGCCUAGUAAACGCAAGUCAUCAGCUUGCAUUGAUUACGUCCCUGCCCUUCGUACACACCGCCCGUCGCUCCUACCGAUUGAAUGAUCCGAUGAAUACCAUGGAUUGAGAGUACGAAUAGGUUCGCUUAUUUCUGCUGCUCGAGAAGUGGAGUAAAUCUUAUCAUUUAGAGGAAGGAGAAGUCGUAACA